CUAAGAAUAUUCCGCAAUGGACGAAAGUCUGACGGAGCGACGCCGCGUGGAUGAAGAAGGCCGAAAGGUUGUAAAAUCCUUUUGCUGAGGAAGAAUAAGUGUGGGAGGGAAUGCCCGCAUGAUGACAUGAAUCGGCGAAUAAGCCCCGGCCAACUACGUGCCAGCAGCCGCGGUCACACGUAGGGGGCGAGCGUUGUUCGGAAUUACUGGGCGUAAAGGGCAUGUAGGCGGUUAUGUAAGCCUGGCGUGAAAGUCCCCAGCUUAACUGUGUGAGUGCGUCGGGAACUAGAUGACUAGAGUUACGGAGAGGGAGCUAGAAUUCCUGGUGUAGGGGUGGAAUCUGUAGAGAUCAGGAAGAAUACCGAUGGCGAAGGCAAGCUCCUGGCCGAUGACUGACGCUGAGGUGCGAAAGUGUGGGGAUCAAACA
rnacentral:rRNA from 1 species